rnacentral:rRNA from 1 species
AACGAACGCUGGCGGCAUGCCUAACACAUGCAAGUCGAACGAGACCUUCGGGUCUAGUGGCGCACGGGUGCGUAACGCGUGGGAACCUGCCCUUAGGUUCGGAAUAACUCCCCGAAAAGGGGUGCUAAUACCGGAUAAUGUCUUCGGACCAAAGAUUUAUCGCCUUUGGAUGGGCCCGCGUUGGAUUAGCUAGUUGGUAGGGUAAAAGCCUACCAAGGCGACGAUCCAUAGCUGGUCUGAGAGGAUGAUCAGCCACACUGGGACUGAGACACGGCCCAGACUCCUACGGGAGGCAGCAGUGGGGAAUAUUGGACAAUGGGCGAAAGCCUGAUCCAGCAAUGCCGCGUGAGUGAUGAAGGCCUUAGGGUUGUAAAGCUCUUUUACCCGGGAUGAUAAUGACAGUACCGGGAGAAUAAGCUCCGGCUAACUCCGUG